rnacentral:rRNA from 1 species
GAUGAACGCUGGCGGCGUGCCUAAUACAUGCAAGUCGAGCGAACAGAUAAGGAGCUUGCUCCUUUGAAGUUAGCGGCGGACGGGUGAGUAACACGUGGGUAACCUACCUAUAAGACUGGGAUAACUUCGGGAAACCGGAGCUAAUACCGGAUAACAUUUAGAACCGCAUGGUUCUAAAGUGAAAGAUGGCUUUGCUAUCACUUAUAGAUGGACCCGCGCCGUAUUAGCUAGUUGGUAAGGUAACGGCUUACCAAGGCGACGAUACGUAGCCGACCUGAGAGGGUGAUCGGCCACACUGGAACUGAGACACGGUCCAGACUCCUACGGGAGGCAGCAGUAGGGAAUCUUCCGCAAUGGGCGAAAGCCUGACGGAGCAACGCCGCGUGAGUGAUGAAGGGUUUCGGCUCGUAAAACUCUGUUAUUAGGGAAGAACAAAUGUGUAAGUAACUGUGCACAUCUUGACGGUACCUAAUCAGAAAGCCACGGCUAACUACGUG